GCGGCCGGACGAGUUGGACGAACAAGACCCCUCUCUUGUCAACCACAACAUUUACAAGGCAAGAGAGUGCCAUGUGUGUCGUCCACCUACUUCGGCAAUUCAAAGGGAACUCGUUGGCGAAACCGCUCACCAGGGCAACUAUUGCCAAUGAAAGGGAUUCAAUCAUCAUUGAGAUGAUACACAUGGAAGGCAACACCGCUUC